AUAAAAUUAUAAAAUAAGGAAAACCCAAUCAAAGAGUGAGAGGAAGAAAACGAAGAACAAGGGCUCUCAUGGCUUCUCCUUAUCCUCCUUGUAAGUUGUAGAAAAUGGCUUCUAAGCAUGAGGUAAGCUUCAUAAACCUUCAUCUCCAUUAAUCCCUAACUAUGGAUGGGUCUUUUAUUAGCUCUGAUGCUACCGCCUUGUAUUCUCUGAUGAAUUUCUCGGUUGUGACAACGCUUUUUGCAAGCAAACGGUUUCAACUAUAAAGGCAUGUUUGCCUCUUUCUCUUUCUCUCAUUUUCUGAAACCUAUGCAGUUCUUUUUCUCUUCCCUGCAUAAUCCUCUACCGAUUGCUAUUUGCAUAUCUUAAAUUUAUAUGAAUGCUGCAGUUAUCGUCCUAUAUCUGCAAUUUGGUUUUCUAGCUUAGAUUUUUGUAGAAGUUGUUCUGAUAAUAUUUUCUAGUCUAUAUGGGUUUAAGCGUUUAACAAGGACUAUCUCUAUCUUAGAUUUUGUCUUUUCUCUCUUACUUUUCAAAACGAAGAGACGAAAUUGAUUCAACUGGAUUUUCACUUGUACACUUAAACAAAAAAAUUUCUUUUCUUUUCGGAUUUUCCUUUUUUUUCCCCCAUGUUUCAUAUAAAUUAGAUGUUGACAUGCUGUGGGAUAUGCUGGCUGUUUAGUAGUUGUUGAAGCUAUUGCUGGUAGCCCCUAUCAGGUAUUUCGAUCAUCAGUGUCAAAUUAUUGUGUGUGGUGUCCAUUCUACGGUGAAACCUUCCAGUCACGUGUCACAUAAUAAGAAGUACUUUUCAAGAUGGUUUGUGAAGAGAAUUAAGCUGAUCUGUCAUGCUUCCACGAGACGAUGGUACAAACUUGGAAAAGUAUAUUGAGGAAGAGGAAGAUAUUAAUGAGCAAGUUACAUGGGCAACCUAAAAAGAUAGAUGUGCAAAUUAUAAAAGUGAAAAUAUGUUUUAUAAUGUAACUACUAUGCCUAACUUGGAAAUGGUCUCUUUGGUAACUAGUAAUGAUCUCAUCUGUAUCUUAUUUGCAAGCAAAUGUACAUUGUUCUUCUUGUUGUUAUUUAUGAAUGAAAUUAAAUCCUUGAGUGAAGCUAUGAGGUUGCAAUGAGA